UGAAACGCAUGUCAACACCUCCAUGUUUGUCAUAGAGACGUUAGAGGCUAAAGACAUUGGGAAUUACACCUGCACUGCCAGAAACAUGGUGACCAGGAAGGAAAACUCUGCUGUUCUGGAUCUGAGAGCAUCCUGUACUGCCCCCUGUUGGUCAUUCUCAGCUUUGGUCAUCAGUGUAAUUAAUCUGAAAGGGUUAAUGUAAGACAGCAGAUAAAUGCAGCUAAUAAAGAAAACCUCCAACGAAAAGUACAGAACAACUUUAAAGAAGCGUUGGACUUUGCCGAAAGCUCAGAAAAACCUGAUUUGAAAUGGAAAGUCGUUCACUUCUAAGAUCUUGUUUUGAAAUUUAAAUAGAUAUACAUGUAUUACUUUUUCUUUACUUUUGUAUAUCUGUUGGGGUUUUUUUUAUCAUUUUGUAUAAAAAAACAGUAACAGAAAUUAUUUGGAAAUAUAUACUUGCUGAAGAAAUUAGCACUUUUAGUUUUUGCUAAAGACACGUUCAUGCACCGAUUAUUAAUACCUGUCUAACUCUGUAAAACGUUGUAUAUAACUAAAUGUCAUUUAAUACUGCCUACCCUAUUCCACUCCCACCCUUGUGAUUUUCUGUGGGUGUAAAUAUUCCAACGAUCGUUACUGAUGGAAAGAUCAUCUUCUUAUGAUCUUUUCCCACAGUUUCAUGAACGGCCACAAAAUGCAAAGAAAGUUUAAAUAUUUUUUUAUAUACUUAUCUUUUUGAUAAGUAUAUAUCAAAGGUAUGAAAAACCACUAACAUCUGAGUUGAUCUAAGAAGGGAUUUUUUUUAUUAUGGCAAAUAAUAAAUUGCCUUUAAGAAGCAACAGUUGUGGCAAAAGGUGUGAAAAACCAUUAACAUCACAUGGUUAACACAAGUCCCACAAAAUAAAAACUGUGAGUUUUGCACCAGAUAUUAAUCUUUUUCUACUUUUUAGGUUUGUCACUAAUCGUCUCUUGUUUUAUGUAAAAAUCUGUCAUAAGACGAACAGGACAAUAUUUACUGAGGUCUUUCUGUUAAUAGAAAAACUUUGGAUAUAGAGCUGCAACUUUGUUAUGAGCUGUAAUUCCUGAUAUUUUUUCACCUUCGGCUUUACAUGCUGGGAUCGAGUUAAAUGAAACCAGCAUGGAUCACUGACCUCAUUGCUUACUUGGACACCUGGGAGCUCCUGAACGUGGGACUCUGAUUGGAGGAGAUGUUUAUAUGUCAUCUAUUUGAGUAACUUCUCUAAAAAAAGAUCAAUAUGAUGAGACUGAGUUAAGGUUUGAAUGAAACCACUUUCCUUCCCUAUAAUCUUCAGCCUGCUGUCAUCCUAUUUUUAACUUCCUCACUCAAACUGCUGACUGAGACGAGCUUUUACUUCCUGACACAGUCAGUACAUAUUGAGAUAAAAUCUGUUUAAUGUUUUAAACUCUGCUUCAUCUUUUUCUUCUCCCUGUGUCUCAUUUUAGAACUGUGUUUUUGUUGGCUACAAAGAAACAUAAUACAGAUCAACGUGUUCCUACCACUCGAACCUUUUUCCAAUUGUAUGCUAAACUACAAACAUCGGUAUUUAUUUAGAUGGUGUGUGAUGGAAAAAUACAACAAAAUGAUCAAAAUGAGACAUGAUUUAAAGUUUUUAUUUCUUGACAAAAAUCUAAGUGUGUGUAUUAAUUAGUAACACUUGUACUGAUGAGAUAUUCUUGAUAUUUAAUGGUUUAAUUAUCCAUAAUGACCAGGAUUCACUGAUCUGUGAAUUAAAAAUAACACCAGCAGUUUUUAUGCAAUUGUGAUUAGUAAAAGUUUUUACAUAUUGAGCUACAUUGUACUGUAAAAGAUUAAUAUUAUAU